UAUUUAGAAAAUUAAAUUGAAGCAGUUAAACUACUUCUGUGGAUUUUAAUAAGUCUUUCAUUACUGGUGAGCAGCCCCAAAUCAGUGGUGGUCAGGUUCUCAGAGAAGAGCUCCCUCUGUGUCUCAUUCUGCUGCCCUCCAGUGGUUGGUGCUGAUAGAGUCUCCUCUUCUGGAAUGUGUGUAUUUCUUUCUCUUUAUUUACAGUUGGGGGUGUUCCUUUUCUUUUUAAAGCA
rnacentral:lncRNA from 1 species